GAAGACCAAGGGUUCCUGUCCAACGUUAAUCGGGGCAGGGUAAGUCGACCCCUAAGGCGAGGCCGAAAGGCGUAGUCGAUGGGAAACGGGUUAAUAUUCCCGUACUUCUUACAAUUGCGAUGGGGGGACGGAGAAGGCUAGGUGGGCCUGGCGACGGUUGUCCAGGUUCAAGUGCGUAGGCUUAAGAGUUAGGUAAAUCCGGCUCUUUCUAAGGCUGAGACACGACGUCGAGCACCUACGGGUGUGAA
rnacentral:rRNA from 1 species